GUGAACGCUGGCGGUAGGCCUAACACAUGCAGGUCGCACGGCAGCACAGUAAGAGCUUGCUCUUACGGGUGGCGAGUGGCGGACGGGUGAGGAAUACAUCGGAAUCUACUUUUUCGUGGGGGAUAACGUAGGGAAACUUACGCUAAUACCGCAUACGACCUACGGGUGAAAGCAGGGGAUCUUCGGACCUUGCGCGAUUGAAUGAGCCGAUGUCGGAUUAGCUAGUUGGCGGGGUAAAGGCCCACCAAGGCGACGAUCCGUAGCUGGUCUGAGAGGAUGAUCAGCCACACUGGAACUGAGACACUGUCCAGACUCCUACGGGAGGCAGCAGUGGGGAAUAUUGGACAAUGGGCGCAAGCCUGAUCCAGCCAUACCGCGUGGGUGAAGAAGGCCUUCGGGUUGUAAAGCCCUUUUGUUGGGAAAGAAAAGCAGCAGGUUAAUACCCCGCUGUUCUGACGGUACCCAAAGAAUAAGCACCGGCUAACUUCGUG
rnacentral:rRNA from 1 species